GGAAUAUUGGACAAUGGGGGCAACCCUGAUCCAGCCAUCCCGCGUGAGUGAUGAAGGCCCUCGGGUCGUAAAGCUCUGUGGAGAGGGACGAACGCCCGUACGUUAAUAGCGUGCGGGGCGACGGUACCUCUUUAGCACGCACCGGCUAACUCCGUGCCAGCAGCCGCGGUAAUACGGAGGGUGCAAACGUUGCUCGGAAUCAUUGGGCGUAAAGCGCACGUAGGCGGCUAUGUAAGUCGGAUGUGAAAGCCCUAGGCUUAACCAAGGAAGUGCAUUCGAAACUGCAUGGCUUGAAUAUGGGAGAGGGUUGCGGAAUUCCCGGUGUAGAGGUGAAAUUCGUAGAUAUCGGGAGGAACACCAGAGGCGAAGGCGGCAACCUGGACCAAUAUUGACGCUGAGGUGCGAAAGCGUGGGGAGCAAAC
rnacentral:rRNA from 1 species